rnacentral:rRNA from 1 species
GACGUAGGGCGCGAGCGUUGUCCGGAUUCAUUGGGCGUAAAGGGCGCGCAGGCGGCCCGGAAAGUCGGAUGUGAAAACUCGAGGCUCAACCUCGAGCGUGCACCCGAUACUGCCGGGCUUGAGGCAGGUAGGGGAGAUCGGAAUUCCUGGUGUAGCGGUGAAAUGCGUAGAUAUCUGGAGGAACACCGGUGGCGAAGGCGGCAUCCUGGACCAAUACUGACACUGAGACACGAAAGCGUGGGGAGCAAACAGG